rnacentral:rRNA from 1 species
GGCCAGACUCCUACGGGAGGCAGCAGUGAGGAAUAUUGGUCAAUGGGCGGAAGCCUGAACCAGCCAAGUCGCGUGAGGGAAUAAGGCCCUACGGGUCGUAAACCUCUUUUGCCGGGGAGCAAGGGCCGGGACGAGUCCCGGUCCGGAGAGUACCCGGAGAAAAAGCAUCGGCUAACUCCGUGCCAGCAGCCGCGGUAAUACGGAGGAUGCGAGCGUUAUCCGGAUUUAUUGGGUUUAAAGGGUGCGCAGGCGGGAGAUCAAGUCAGCGGUAAAAUGUCGGGGCUCAACCCCGGCCGGCCGUUGAAACUGGUUUUCUAGAGUUGGAGAGAAGUAUGCGGAAUUCGUGGUGUAGCGGUGAAAUGCAUAGAUAUCACGAAGAACUCCGAUUGCGAAGGCAGCAUACCGGCUCCAUACUGACGCUGAGGCACGAAAGCGUGGGGAUCGAACAGGAUUAGAUACCCGCGUA